rnacentral:ncRNA from 2 species
ACGGGAAUGCUGUUCAAGUCAGCAACUGUGCCGCAGCGGUGAUCCCCCGAUUCAAUCGGGGGUAAGUCCGAAGACCG